GACGAACGCUGGCGGCGUGCUUUACACAUGCAAGUCGAACGGUGAAGGUGGAGCUUGCUCCGCCGGAUCAGUGGCGAACGGGUGAGUAACACGUGGGCAACCUGCCCCUAACUUUGGGAUAACUACUCGAAAGAGUAGCUAAUACCGGAUAUGAAGUCUGUAGGCAUCUAUGGAUUUGGAAAGUUUUUCGGUUAGGGAUGGGCCCGCGGCCUAUCAGCUUGUUGGUGAGGUAGUGGCUCACCAAGGCGACGACGGGUAGCCGGCCUGAGAGGGCGACCGGCCACACUGGGACUGAGACACGGCCCAGACUCCUACGGGGGGCAGCAGUGGGGAAUAUUGCGCAAUGGGCGAAAGCCUGACGCAGCAACGCCGCGUGCGGGAUGAAGGCCUUCGGGUUGUAAACCGCUUUCAGCAGGGAAGAAGCGAAAGUGACGGUACCUGCAGAAGAAGCACCGGCUAACUACGUGCCAGCCGCCGCGGUAA
rnacentral:rRNA from 1 species